rnacentral:rRNA from 1 species
AUUGAACGCUGGCGGCAGGCCUAACACAUGCAAGUCGAACGAGUGGCGGACGGGUGAGUAAGGUCUGGGAAUCUGCCCGAUGGCGGGGGAUAACUAAUGGAAACGGUAGCUAAUACCGCAUACCCUCGGAGGAGCACCAGGGGGAUUAGCUAGUUGGUGAGGUAAAGGCUCACCAAGCAGACGAUCUCUAGCUGGUCUGAGAGGAUGACCAGCCCCACUGGGAUGGAUACACGGCCCAGACUCCGACGGGAGGCAGCAGUGGGGAAUAGUGCGCAAUGGGGGCAACCCGGACGCAGCCAUGCCGCGGGGAUGAAGAAGUCCUUGGGGUUGUAAAGUUCUUUCGGUAGCGAGGCGUUAAUUACAGAAGAAGCACCGGCUAACUCCGUGCCAGCAGCCGCGGUAAUUC